UAAGUUUUUAUUUAACCAAAA
rnacentral:piRNA from 1 species